rnacentral:rRNA from 1 species
GACGAACGCUGGCGGCGUGCUUAAUACAUGCAAGUCGAGCGAGAAGCCACUUCUCCGCAAGGAGAAGUGGUGGAAAGCGGCGAACGGGUGAGUAACACGUGGAUAACGUGCCCUAGACACUGGGAUAACAGCGGGAAACCGCUGCUAAUACCGGAUAAUGCAUAACUGUCGCAUGACGGAUAUGCCAAAGCUCCGGCGGUCUGGGAUCGGUCCGCGGCCUAUCAGCUUGUUGGUGGGGUAACGGCCUACCAAGGCACUGACGGGGUAGCGUGGCGUGAGAGCGCGACCAGCCACACUGGGACUGAGACACGGCCCAGACUCCUACGGGAGGCAGCAGUAGGGAAUCUUGCGCAAUGGGCGAAAGCCUGACGCAGCGACGCCGCGUGAGCGAUGAAGGCCUUCGGGUUGUAAAGCUCUUUCAGCAGGGACGAAAUUGACGGUACCUGCAGAAGAAGGUCCGG